UACGUAGGGUCCGAGCGUUAAUCGGAAUUACUGGGCGUAAAGCGUGCGCAGGCGGUUUUGUAAGCCAGAUGUGAAAUCCCCGGGCUCAACCCGGGAACUGCGUCCGAUACUGGAAGGCUUGAAUCCGGGAGAGGGAUGUGGAAUUCCAGGUGUAGCGGUGAAAUGCGUAGAUAUCUGGAGGAACACCGGUGGCGAAGGCGACAUCCUGGACCGGUAUUGACGCUGAGGCGCGAAAGCCAGGGGAGCAAACGGG
rnacentral:rRNA from 1 species